rnacentral:lncRNA from 1 species
CGCCAACUGGAAUGCUGGCUGCUGGCCGGUGCAAGUUUCCUUCCUCUCAGGGCACCGCUCCACACGUGCAGGUGGCAGCGGACACCACUCUUGUCGCUGCCCCUCAUUCAGCGUCCUGGUGGCAUUCUGCGGGACCAUGCAAGCCCUGGUAUCCCCCGUGACUAAGGCCAUCUUCGUGGCUCUGUUUCUCUUCGCUAUCCUGCUGAUCCUCUAUGUGAUCCUGUGGUACAUUUGCCGGGACGUGGACAACGACUACAUCUGAAGCAGGUAUAGCACACCCACAGCCCCUUAGGGCCCCACCCUGGGUACCCGACCCCAGGACUCUGUGUAUCACGUUCCCUCUCUUCCCUAUGCCCUGAGCCCCUCUCCCAGAUCACUCCCCCGUACUUGGUGCAAGCCUAUCCAGGACGCCUGCCUCUUCUCUCAACCCCGCUGGGACACCUGCCUCUUCUAUUGACCCGCGCUUCUUCCCCAGACCCGGUGACCCUCCCCAGAUUCCGUGCCCCUGUACGAAUCCUGUGCCUAGUGUCUACCCAUGCAUUACAAUCCCAGGCUCCUUUCUCUUAACCCAGAUCUCACACCCCUUCCCAGACUCUGUGCCCUUCCCUUGCACUCUAUAUUCCUGUCCUGGAUCUCAUACCCCUCUAAGGACCUGGGGAUCCCCGGGAUCCCUUCUAAAACUCCCCAAGGUCUUGCAUUGCUCCCAAGACCUCAAGGAGGCUCUAUACUGAUGCCUACCCUUUUCUCAGGCUCCUGUUCUCCUCUCAUAGUCUGGGUCUCUCUCCUCAUCUUGUGUUGCUCCCAGGAAUCUGCUCAUUGUCCCCUAAACUCCACCAGGACCCUGCAUCCUCUUCUGAAUCUGUGCACUCUCUAGAACCUUAAGAUCUUCCCUUCACCCCACCACCAACCCCCACUCUGUAGAAGUCUCCAGAUUCUCCCUUCUCCCCAGGAGCCUUUGCCUCACUUUGUCCUGGGGCUUCCAAAGGUCCAGGGAAUGAAGAAGUAAAAUGAAAGACCCUUCUACCACCCUGCAUCCCUCCCAGGACCUUUUGGAUUUCCCCAAGCAGGAGUGGUUCCUCCUGGUCCUAUGCCCCUCUCUUGGAUCCCUCUUCACCAAACUCUGAACCCCAGUGCCAGCUCACCUCUCUGAGAACCCACAAAUUUCUAAACAUGGAACACUGAGGCCAGAAGAAGCUCCUGACUGGUGCCAGUGCCACACUCAUUGAACUUCUGUACUCUGGACAGUGGAAGAGCUUUUUGGUAACUGACAGGCCUCCCUCAUCCCUGUUUCCCUGUAGGGAUCCUAUGCCUUCCUUUUCUCUUUGGAGCACUUGAUGCUUUCCUCCCUCCCAGGGUUAGGAUGCCUAAGUAGCUUAAAUCUGCAAACAAGCUAGUAAGUAACAAUUUGACAUGCUACUCUGGUUCUACAAAUUUUCUUGAGUUAGGUUCAGUCUCAGAAAGGGGUCCCUGACAUUGGAAUGAUGUAUCAACCUCAAUUUUCAAGGGGAUAUCAUGGAUGAGCCUCUCUGGAUUGGGAAUAAUAGAGGUUGGGCCAGGCAAGGUGAUCUGAUCUGACUGCUUCCAGUUUUCUUUUUCUCCCUUCUGUUCCAUUCUUUUUUCUUCCCUCCCUGUGUCUUUUCCUGAUGAAGUCAGUACAUCUGCAGGCAGGUGGUAGUCAAGACUGAUGAUUGUGGCAGCGGCCAUUGAACCUGCAGUGGACAGUGAGGUAGGAAUAAGUGCAAGGAAUAUGGGUAGGGGCUGCAUUUUGUGACCUUGCCUCAGUGAGACAUAAAAGUGGAUCCUGAUUACAUUGUUGAGCAUAGAUUUUUUUAAAAAAUAUUUAUUUUUUAGUUGUAGUUGGACACAAUACCUUUAUUUCACUUAUUUAUUUUUAUGUGGUGCUGAGGAUUGAACCCAGGUUCUCGCACAUGCGAGGCAAGUGCUCUAUCUCUGAGCCACAACCCCAGGCCCACGCCCCCAGCAUAGAUUUUAAGUGAGUUCACCGGCAGUUCUUUCCAGAGAGGCUGAAGCAGCCCUUUGGGAUAGAAUGUAUCAUCUCAAAUGAACCAUAUUAAUGAGCAUUCACGGGUCAGUGUAGGCACAGGAUAGAAAAGCUGGAGUUUUGGAUAUGCAUAAUCCUGGGUUCAAAUGCCAAAUCAGCAUAUGAUUGGGCAAGUUACAUCUCUGAGAAUCAGUUAUUUCUUCUGAUGAAUGAAAUUAAUGACACUAUCAAAUUCAUUGAAAGGAUUACAUGAAGUACUGUGCCAAAGCUGACGAACAGUUGUAGACACUAAAUUCUCAAUUAAAGGUGGUUGUCACUUCUGUAAAAUUAACUAUCUUCUAAUAAUAACUGAUUUUUUCUACUUACUUUUUGCAGUAUAAUUUGCAUAGAGUAAAAUUCACUGCUUUUAUAAAUGUACAUUUCUACAGUUUCUGAUAAACAAAGCUGUGUAACUACCACAACAAGCAAGGCUUGCAAGCACUUUCUAUUGAUAACAUAUAAUUAAAAUAUUUUACAUUCAAUGCCUUUGAAUCUGAGAAAACCAGCAUCUAAAACUCAUUCUAGGUAAGCAAAUGUGAUGUUCAUGAUUUGCUUAUUUAAUUUCUUUGCAUGGUAUUGGUGUACUGCCCCACCAAAAUACUUCACUAUUUUUGCUCAUGUUCAUUACAGUUAACAUUGAAAAUAGAUUUUUUAUAUUAUACAAGCAAUAAAUAACUACAUUUUCUUGCAAAAGUAUACUAUUCCAAAGAGAAUAGAGCAAUCAUUGCACUACUCUGCCCAUUCUCCUCCCCAAAAGAGUGACAAUUAUCAACCAUUUGUUUCUUCUACUUCCUGUCUCUCUUCUUUACAUCUCUAUUCUCUCUCUCUCUCUCUCUCUCUCUCUCUCACACACACACACACACACACACACACACAGCACUUGAACACAUGCACACACAGAAUGGUGUUGGGUUUUCCUACUUUAGAUUUCAGAGGGCCAGGAGGGAAUGAAGAAGCAAAAUGAAAAUCUACAAGGAAGCAUAGGAGUCCUGCUCUCUGCUCUUCUUCCCAUGCCUUGCCUUUAGGCAUUCUGGGAAAAGGAUACCUGCUGAUCAGGUCUGUGGGGAGACUGUUUUGGCCUCUGAUUCUCUGAUUAAAGGUGCUACAUGAAGUGCAAAGACUAUUUUAAGAGGCAAAGAUAGUGCUGGGCAUUUGCAUAGAGAAGAUCAGAGCAGGUAAAACAAAACAAAACAAAAAAAAAAAAACAUUUCCCAGGUAUUCUACUUCUUUUCAUUGCCCACUUCUUGGAUGUGCACCCCUCCAGAGGCAGUAUAAAGCCCCUGUUGUUCUUCCCCUUUGUCUGCUGGUGGGGCACUGGAGUACUGCUAAUAUGGGUUAGUCUUGAACUGAAGUCUUCCACCCCUUAAGUGUAGAAACCCCCGAGUCUAUCUCAGUGGUCCUGGCAGGGGCUAGAAAGUGCCCCAUCAACAGUGUGAAGAAUGUAUCUGGAGAGCCUUGAGAUUGGAAACUAGUUAUAAGGCAAGAAAGUAUGAGGGCCUGACCUUAGGCAGUGGCCACGAAAGCAAGAGGGGUAGAGAUGUCUCUGAGUUAGAGCUGAAGACUUUGGUGACUGAAUGCAUGUAAGGGCACUGGGAGGGUAUGGAAGAGGAGAGGGGAGCAAACUGACAUUCUUUGCCUAGCCUAGUUGAAUAAGAGGCUAGUGAUGCUAAUAAAAUAGUAAUGGCUCCCACUGGAAGCAGAUGAAUGCCCUAGUUCAGCAUUCCACAGGCCCUUCUGGGUCUGCUCCGUGCUUACAUCACUUUGACUUUUCCUUCAUCCCGUCUGACCUAGUGGCAUGGGCAGGUGCCUAAGCAGGUAUCUGGAUUAUAGGGAGAGCUAAAAAAAUAUGGUAGCCUAUUUAUAUCUCGAGGUUUCACUUGCAGGCUGUUUCAUCAGGGGACACUUGUUUUUUUUAAUUUUUAAAAUUUUUCUUACUUGUUGAAGUCCUCAUGCCCAUUGAUAGAAUCCAUAUAAAGUCCAUAGAAUAAUGACUAGAAUAAAUAUGAAAUUUAGUUUGUAUACAGGAACAGUGCUCGUCCUAUGUACUCACACCAUAGCUGAAUUUCCAUCCUUUCUCCCAACAUAGUUUAAAGAGUGGCACUAAAACAAACCACAACCACCUGCUCAAGUCUUGUGGUUUGAAAUGGAUUGUGUAAUAUUUCCUCCUUCCAAUUCCUCCCCAAGAACAAGCUUACAUUUUGCAGCAUUUAGCAGUGGAGUUUAAAUACCUAAAUCAGGAUAGUGAGAAUUCAGAAUUUCAACCUAUCUGCACAGCUCUUAUUUGUCACCAUGUUGAACCAAGAUCAGCCGUAUCAACUCUCUGCUGGUGCACAUUCUGGGAAGGUAAAGCAACAAAAUUGGUGAUUGGACACCAUGCAUUUAGGACAAUAAUGUAACUCCUGAUACCACAGCUGCCAAGUUUCAACAGAUGCCUUCCACAGGCCUUUGGAAUAUUUUCCAUUUUUGAACUACUCUUGUGCCCAAACAUCAAACAUUGACUUCAUAAGGAAAAAACAUGUCACUGAAAAUUCUACUACCCUAUAAUUGAUUGGAAACCUUGGGUGGGCUGUAGCUAUAUCACACAGAAAAAAAAUGAAGUAACAAGCAGGAAAACAUAAGGAUGAAUUUUCUGAAAAGAGGCUGAAAAAUAUCUGGUUGGCAUUCUCUCCUAUACUACCAUCGUUUUUGUUACAUUUUCAUUAUUAUUUUUCAGACCUAUAGUGGGUAAAGCGUAGAAUUAGGUGCUAGAUUAUAUAUAGAAAAGUAUGAGAACUAGUCUUUCCUCUUAAGGACUUUAGAGUUUUGUCAAUAAAGAAAGAGUUAUAUAGAGAGAGAAAGGAGAGGGUGAGAGGGAGAGUCAAAGCUUAAAUAUUUGAGUGUCACAUAUCCCUCAUAAAGGAAGCAUACAUCCUGUUUGUUUAUCUGAGAUGGAGCACCCAUUAUACCCUUUGACACAGAAGAUUCCAAAGUUCACUAUAUCGAUGAGGACUAUCAACAACUGGAUGAGCAAGAUGUGGCAGGUACAUUAGCAGCCUUAGAAAAACAUAGGUGCUUCAGACAGUGGUGGAUCAACCUUGAAAAGACUCAGAAGCCUUUUCAGUGUUCAGUGGUCUGGUGGCUAGGAGCACGCCAACAAACAAAUGAUGACAGCUCACACCUUCUACCACUAAGAAGGAAACACAAGGCCUUGGAUACCUCUUUAGGUAUUGAAUCAGGGAAUUGAGGGAUAUAGUGACCUCAUUUACUUUAUCUUCCUGUGAUGCACAUGGGAAUUUAUGCUUCCUGCCCCCACAACUUUGGGUUCUGUAGUUAGACCAGCACUGUCCAAUAUGGUAACCACUAGCCACAUUUGACUAUUUAAAUCACGAUAAAAUACAACUACAAAUUAAGUUCCUCAGUUACACUAGCCACAUUUCAAAUACUCAGUAGCCACAUGGGUCUAAGUGGUCCUUAUUGAACGGUGUGGGCUAGGCACUCUGGUUUCCCAAAUGGGAAUGAUUACACCAGGAGUCAGAGUAAGAGUUCCAUUAACUACCAGGCAUGGCUGACAAGUGAAUUACAAGUCAUGGGCACCUUGGGCUCUUCAUAUUAUGGAACCCACAAGCAUGAGAAAGAGUCAUCCAUCCUAUCAGGAGUCAUGGGCCCUGGUCAUCAGGAGGAGGCAGGUAUGUUCUCACAUAAUAGGAAUAGAGGGAUAGGUUUGGUAACCAGGUGAUCCACUCAAAAAUGUGUCUUGGCGAUCCCCUGACUGAUUUCUGUGAUAAAUGGACAAGGGUGCUUUCCAUAGCCUGAGAAGGACUUGUACAUUAGGGGCUCAGAACUUUCAGGGAUGAAGGUCUGUUUUAUGCCACCAAGUAAGCCACAGAAAAUAGCAAAGGUAUUUGUUGAGGCUGAGAGGAUUCUAUCAUGGGCAGUGCCUCAGGGAGGCCAUGAACAUCACUUGUGGCUUUGAAACCAAUUGCAGCAGCGGGGGCCAUGAACUGCACUGCUGUCUUUCCCCAUGGGAAAAAGUCAAGCCAGUCCUGAAGGAGUUGUUCUCAAACAAGAUUACCUUUCUAUGUGAAGCCAUUUGAUACAAGGACUGUGGGGGGGGGGGGGGGUGGAGCUGCAGUGGUUGCUAUGGUGCCUUCCAUGGCCCCACCAUCUGACUAAGGUAACCAUUCCCUUUGCUAACAAAGGUAUUGCUUGAUUAUGACUCUCUGCUUAGGCCCCUCUCCAGGAGCUACCCUAAGUGAAGGGAAUUGCCUCCCUGGUGGCAGCCCACUUACAAAGACUGGUGAAGAGUUUAGUAGGGAACAGUAUAAAGGUCUGGCAUCCUUGCCUAGAUAUGAGAUAUCUCUGCAGGACCAUGUGCACUGUAGAGUUCCCCAUAGGAUUUUCUGAGACCUGUGAUACAACUGCAUCACAAUUUAACUCCUUCCUCUGCCCAGUCCUUCUUCCUUCACUCUCUAUAGGUGUUACUUUAUUUUUUAAAAUAUUUAUUUUUUAGUUGUAGGUGGAUACAAUAUCUUUACUUCAUUUUUAUAUGGUGCUGAUGAUCAAACCCAGUGCCUCACGUGUGCUAGGCAAGUGCUUUACCUCUGAGCCACAACCCCAGCCUCUACAGGUGUUACUUUACACAACAGAAUAAUCUUCAUCUCAGCCAUCUACUCAGGAAACCUGACCUAAUGCAGUUGCUGUUUUAAAUAAUGUCCCUUCAAAAUUUGUGCACAGCUAAAACCUGUAAAUGUGACUAUCUGGAAAUAAUAGGGCCUUUGUGUAUUAUUUGGAAAUGGGGCCUAUGCAGAUAUAAUCAAGAUAAGAUGAGAUCAUAUUGGAUAAGAGUUGGCCCUAAACACAAUGACUGUUGUUUCCACAAAAAGAGGGAAAUUUGGACUCAGAGACAAACAAACAACAAAAGAGGAAGGUAAUAUAAAGAUUAAGGCAGUAAUAUAAAGAUUAAGGUACAAUGAUGUACCUGCUAGCCAGAGAACACCAGUAAUUACUGGAAAUCAAAAUUUAGGAAGAGGAAAUAAUUAUUCAGAGAGAUCAUGGACUUGCUGGUAUAUUUGUUUCUGACUUCUACCCUCCUGAAACAUGAGAGGAUAAAAUUAUGUUAUUUUAAGCUACCUAGUUUGUAGUAAUUUGUUAUGGCAGUUCUAGGAAACUGAUAUAACUGUCAACAAAAUUAAAUAAUUAUAUUGUCAAAUAUUCCCAUUUUGCAUUAAUGGCUGAAAAUUGCAGAACUCCAGAAACACCUUAGGAUUUUAUUUCUAAGCAGUAAAACUUUGCAGGGUACGUGUUAGUACAUUUCGUGCUGCUAUAACACAAUACCUGAAACUAGUAAUUUAUAAAGAAGAGAAAUUUACUUCUUUUAGUUUUGGGGGCUGGGAAGUCCAAGAUUAAGGGCCUAGAAUCAAAGGGCUUCAUGCUACAUGAUCCCAUAGAAGAAUGUGAAGGGUAAGAGAAAGAGAAAGCGAGUGAGAUAAAGAGAGGUUUUAAAUAACAAACUCACUCCCAUGGUAGCAACAAUAAUCCAUUCAUGAGAAUACAGUACUAAUGACCAAAUCACCUUUGAAAGGUUCCAACUCCCAAUAUUGUUGCAUUGGGAGUUUAAUUUCCAAGACACAACUUGUAGGGGUACACUCAAACCAGAGCAGGUACACAAAGGCAGAUUUCCCUUCUUCUUCAUUUAUAAUAAAUAUUCAAUAAUACCCACUUGUAAAUUGUAGUUCUGAGUACCACUGACUCCCUAGAAAUAGUCUAAGAACAUGAACAUGAGGUCCAUUGUAUCAAUAUACGUUUAGGAGUCUAUUGAGACAGUCUUCAUACAUCAAUGUUUUUUUAAUACUCCUUCUCCUCACCAUAAUAGAAGAUGCAUUGAGGUUCCAGGAUUCAGGUAUUAAUCCAUUAAUAAUCAAUGAUUAUUGACUCUACUAUCCUUGAUUUUAGAAAUAUCACCCUUUCACAAAGUUCAAGGACAACUUAACACCAUCCCACAUUACUGACCCAGAACACUAUGCAUCUUAACAGAGGGAGGACAUAGUAUUUCUGGCUUGAUGUCUUCAGCAUAGCUUUUCUUUAUAAUCCUAAGCUAUGAAAAAUACCCUGAAAUCAAACCUCAUAGGUUUGAUUAAGGGGUCCAUGAAUAAAAGCUAGGAAUGGUGCCUUGCACCUCUGCUUCCCUUUACCUGUCUUUUGUCUUUAGACCAUGCAUGACAGGAUGCCCUUGAAAGAAGUCAGUUUGUACUUACAUGUGAUGAUGUUCCUUGCUUGGUUCUCAGUCUGAAAGAAUAUCUACAUCUUGACUGCCUCCUCCUUGAUGCUCACUCCCAUUCAGGAGACUCUAAGCCAUAGGAUCACAUUAUCCAGAUACCAAGCCCCUAAGGUCACAAAGACACAACCUAUCUAACCUCUGUAUCAGAAGUGAUUCAGGUCCAUGUCAUUCAUCCCUCCUAAUAACUUUUAACCCUGCUAUUUGAAGGGUUGUUAUUUUGAAAUUGAAUAAACAACUGAAGAAAGCAGACAAAAUUAUUUCUUAUUAUAUUACCAUUCUUGUGGGAGAGAAAGACAAACUAUCUGGUGGCAAUAAGUGACCAUGAAGAAAACUAAAUCAAAAUGAUGUACUAUGAGGAGUGAGGUAGGAACUACUUGAUUUAAAAAAAAAAAAAAAAAUUUGGUCAGAGAUUGAACCCAGGGGUACUUAACCACUGAGCCCCAUCCCUAGUCAUCUUUAUUUUUUAUUUAGAGACAGGGUCUUGCUAAGUUGCUUAUGGCCUUGCUAAGUUGCUGAGGCUGACUUUGAACUUGCAAUCCCCCUGCCUCAGCCUCCCAAGAUGCUGGGAUUACAGGCAUGCGCCACCAUGCCCAGCUGGGAAUUACUUUAUGUAGGUGAUUUGGAAAGGCCUCUCUGGCACUUAGGCAGAAGCUUGAAGGAAAUGAUUGUCUACAUUCUGCAGAGAUUUAAGGGAAGAGCCUUCAGGCUGAGAAACCACUAAGGUGGGUUUGGCCCAUAGAAGGAAAAGUAGGAGGUCAGUAAAGCUGGUGCAGUGGGAGUGAGUGAAGAAUUAUUAGACAUAGAAUAGAAAGCUAAUAGAGGGGCAGUCAUGGAGGACCAUGGAGACAGAAGCAUAACCUACCCUUCCAGAUUUACCAUUAUAAACAUGAUUUCAUGGGAUUUGUGAAUAUAACCCCAUGGUAAGUCUGCAAGAUUUCUUUAGUUGCUGAGUUAUUUUGAGCAAUAGUAAUUUAUCACAAGUAAUUAAAAAAUAACUGCUUUGAGGCCCCAAGAACAGAACUUCCAUUACAUAGACAGCUGUUUCUCACGGUGUAUGGCAGGAAGCUGUCUACCUGGCUUUUCUCAUUGGUACUACUUUACUGUGGGAGACUUUCUUGGCAAGUACUGACUUAUUUUGUCUACCUUGGAUUACUAAAAACCUGUGCCUGAAAUGCAACAUACAUCCUCCAGUACCAGGGGAUAUAUGGGAAACCAGGAGUUGGGCCCAGAACAGCAGAAAAAUGAUAGAACUAUUUGAAUUUGUUCCCAAUUUUGAAUACCUUGUGGAUAAUAAUUUUCAGCUAAGACCAAUGCUUUGAGUAACAGCAGGAUGUGUUCUAUGGGCAGCAAAAACACAUGCCAUAUCCUGCCUGGCUCAUACACCAUGAUAGGGUGGUGCAAAUACGUGAAUGAGUAUUUGGAGGUAAGCAUCAAAUGUCAGGAUAGUGAUCUACUUCUUUAUCUCAAUGAAUGACUGCUAUUAGGUUUCAAAUGAUUACUGUGACCACUGUGCUCUGAAAUGGAGAAGAAGUGAAUGGCAGAAUGAAAUGCAAAACAGAUCCAGAAAUUUCACAAUUUGAGCCUUAAUUCAUAGGCAGGAGCCAUCCCUGUGCAGUGUCAGAAAUUCCAGGAACAAAGAUCCCCAGGAAUACGGCUUGGGCUUAGUCAAAACCCAGGAUAUCAAGCCUACCAUUGCCUUGCUACUUGUUUUUGCAAAUGAGAUGAUCAUUUUAGUCCAUGGAAUCAGUGGGAAAGUAUUAAAAAGAGGUUGUUACUGUUGUGAUAACAGUGUGUACCCAUCUCACAGUAAGCCAGCAUAGUCAUGGAUAAGUGUUGGGCUCUGAAAUCAAAACACUUGGGUUAUUUAUCUGAUGGCUCUGGUGAGUAAAAGCCUGUGAUCUGUAUAUGGCUGCACAGCACCGUGCAACAACAACAGAAGCCUCUAUGGACAUUAAACGACUUCACAAGGACAGCCCUCUCUGUGAAGUUGCAGACAGUGAGAACAUUUCACAGAUGCACCAGAGCCCUCUAGAGUACCAGAGGAUCAGGGCUAGCCUCAACCUGAGGAUAACUAUAUGCCAUUUAUAGAUCACUUAUCACACCAGGCAAUGGGAUAAGUGCUUCAUGUUCAUUACAGUCCCAUGGACUAAAGUUUUAGGCAUGUUUUAGAAAACUUCCACAAGCUGUUUUGCUUAAUUCUGAGGCCACACACCAGUGGCUAAUGAGGUCAGGAGUUGCCAUUUUAAUAAACACUCGCUUAACAAUUACUAUAUGCAAGGCUGCUCUGUAUGCUUACAAAUAUUAUCUGAUUUAGUCUUUAUAACUUCCCCAUGAAGUAAAUACUGUUUCUAUUCAUGGUUUACAGAUGAGAUGACUGAAACACAGAGAGGUCACAAGCUUACCCAAGGCCACACAGCUAGGAGAUGGCAGAGCCAAGAGAUUCAUAUCCCUUAUGGCUGGGUUCAAAACCCCUGCUCUUAGUUACACAUUUUGUUGCUUCACUUAAACCUAGGUCUGUCCAAUUAAACUAUUCUAGUUUAGAAAUACACGUUAAUCAUAAUUAUUUUGUCCAUGUGCUUUAGAAUUUCUAGAACUAUAGAGCAGAACUUCCUAUGUGGCUAUGCCCCACAAUUAGAUCAUAAACUGCUUAGAGCAAGGAUUAUGUUCUCAUGGUCUAUACUCCUCGUUCCCAUCAUGGGAACUGACAUCCAGCAGAAGAUCAGGAAGUGUUAGCUAAAAUUUUAUACAACAUUCACAUAAUUCUUUGGAUCCAAUUUAUUUAUCCUACAAUGCAUGCAACACAUCAACACAAUUAUAAACACGAGCAGGAUCAGUAACACAAGUGAAAUUUCUAGAAAUAUCUGUAAGAGAGUUGCUUAAUACAGUCAAUGAUAGACAGAAUCAAUCUUGUCCAGGUAUAACUUUUAAAAGUCACAUUUUCAUUAAAAAAAAAUCAGUGAAAUUAUGUGAACAAAACAGCAUAUGGUAAAAGAGAGUUGUCACAAAGUAAGCCAGCUGAGCCGGAGUUCUUCAAGUGCUGGAAGGACAUUUAGGAAGAAAUGAACCAACCAGGCCCCAGAGAAAGACAAAUUAACCUUCAGGGGUAGAGUUUGCUACAGUAUUUUGAUGGGUUCCGGCAAUAAAAAAUCAAGUCCUCUCCUAAAGUAUCCCCUGAAAACUUGAGAUUUUUAUGUAACCACUUGCUUUAAUAUAGCCCAAAUUAGCUGAUUUUUAGCCAGUUAGAGACUGUCUGGUUUUUCAAAAUAUUUUUUUUAGUUGUAGGUAGACACAUUCCUUUAUUUUUAUUUAUUUAUUUUUAUGUGGUUCUGAGGAUGGAAUCCAGUGCCUCACUCAUGCUAGGCGAGUGAUGUACUACUGAGCCACAACCCAGCCCCGAGACUGUCUGUUUUUAUAAAUUGCAAAACUGUGCCCAACAUCUCCUAUGCAAAGCUAAAAUAACUCUGGGGCUCUAAAGUUCUCAAACCAGUUACCCUUCAGAGCUGUCUUAUCCAGAGACUCCCCAUCAUGUUGCUGAGCAACAUCACCACGACAUGCAAGCUCACUCUGAUCCCUGGCAGUUCUCCUGCUCUCCUGCUCUUCCAAGUAGUGAGACCUUGUCCUUAUCUCUGGAAGGGCUUAUCCUGUGAGGACUUUAUCUUUGUAUUCUAUCCUUUUGAAGUGCUUCCCUGUAAGCUGAUUGUAUGCUUCUGCCAUGUCAGAGUCAUAUAUUUUCCCUUGAUCAGUUUCAAACUUCUCGAACCCACUGCAAUAGUUUUUGUAUGAAAAUGUAUAAAAUCAGAUUGAAAAUAAUGAAUUCACGCAUCUAUGAUUUUGUCAAAAUGAACCCAACCAUUAUGUUAUAAAUAUAAUGCAUUAAUAAAAGAAAAAGAAAUAAAACAUGCAUAUUGUUAAAUAUAAUCAUUGUUGUGAAUGGGUCUGAAUUUAGGAGAAACUUUUAAAACAGGAGUUAUGAUUUCUCUAUAGUUUUAGAAUUUUUUAAGAAGAAUAUAUGCAUGGUUACUUACGUACUUAAAAGUACUAACAACAGAAAUAGCAGCUGGGUAUUCGUCAGCAAAAAUAACUGGUAGCUGAUGAAACAGAUGAACCUGAUAGUUACUAUUUGUGCACAUAAAUUUUUGAUACAGUGUGAAAAAGGCUCUCUGCUCUUAGCAGAUUGAUUUUCCAGGUACUUUCUAUUUUGGAGUUCCAUAUUCUUAACCCAGGGUUGCUACUGAAUUAAAAUGAAAGCAUAGUAAUGGUGUACUGGCUAUGGCUAUAAACAACCAAUUAUUUUGCUUCUAUUUCACAACAAAUGUACUGACAAGGUAGUGCCUCCAUAUUCCAUAAAGGAUAGGAGGACUUCUUUUAGUAUGUUGGCUUCCCUCAGGGUCCUUUUUUGUCACCAUACAGACAUGAUACAGUGCUAAGAAGAUAAAUGAAUUUUCAGUCAGAUGGUCAGCCUCAGGCUAGGAGCCAUGGGUAAAGCAUGGGAUUCAGAUGAAUUUAGACCAGUGGUCUCUUCCCAGCCCUGUCACUAGCCAGUGAUCCUAUGAAAGUCUCCAGUCAGUCAGACUUCAGGUAUUCAGCUGCCAAAUGAGAAUGAUAAGAUCUAUCCAGUAGGGUCUGUUGAGACAUGGGUACAGUAUGUAAAGCACCUGGUAUGGUGCAUGGCCCAUAAUGGAACUGUAGUGAGUGGCAAAUGGCUCUUAUUUCUGGUAGUAUUUGAUUCCAACCUCUAUGACUCUGGGGUGCUGUUUGUAUUGUCAUUGUUCACUAGAAACAUUAGAGAUUAUGAAGCUCAAUAAGAUCUGGCAUAACAAAUUAGUAUGUUUGUAUGGUUUGAGUGUGUCCUUCAAGGGUUCAUACAUUGCAAGCAUAGAUCCCCGUGUGGCAAUAUUAAAAGUUGGUGAAACUUUGAAGAGGUGCAGCCUAGUGGAAUGUCCUUGGGUCUUUGAAGCAUUGACCUCAAAGGGAUUAAGGUAGUUAACAUGAGAAUAUAAGUUAUUUCUCUGACAAUGAGUUGUUAUAAAAGAGUGUCUGCCUUCUCUCUGGCUUCUUACCUUAUGACAUGACCUCCCUCUUACACUCACUCUCACCAUUGUAAUGCCACCUUUCAAGAGUCCUCACCAGAGCCAGCAUCUUGCUCUUGAACCUCCAGAACUGUGAGAUAAAUAAAUGUUUUCUUUAUAAAGUAUCCAGCCUAAUUUUCAGGUAAAUGAAUGGAGUUGGAGAAUAUUAUGCUAAGUAAGCCAAUCCCCAAAAAACAAAAGCCAAAUAUUUUCUCUAAUAUGAGGAUGCUGACUCAUAAUGGGGAUGGGGGGAGCAUGGGAGCAAUGGAGGAACUCUAGAUAGGGUAAAGGGGAGGGAGGGGAGGGAGGGGAAGGGAGGGGCUGUGGGGGUAGGAAAGAUGGUAGAAUGAGAUGGGCAUCAUUACCCUAAGUACAUGUAUGAAGGCAUGAAUGGUGUGACUCUACUUUGUGUACAACCAGAAUUGAAUUGCAUUGUACUAUCAUACGUAACAAAUUAAAAUAAAUAAAUAAUUUAAAUUAAAAAAAUAAUAAUAAUAAAGUAUCCAGCCUAAGGUAUUUCUUUACUGCAGUAGAAAAGACUUAUAUAUCACCUUUAAAAUACUAUUUUGUGGGUGGGGCUGUAGCUCAGUGGCAGAGUGCUUGCCUAGCAUGCAUGAAGCACUUGGUUCAAUCCUCAGCAUCACAUAAAAUAAGCAAAUUAAAUAAAGGCAUUCUGUCCACAACAACUACAAAAAAUUAAAAAAAGAAUUUGCUAUUAAAUUUGCUAAUAAAGCUCAAUAAAUCAUUCUUUUCAGAGUAUCUAUUAUUAUUUAACAUAGUUGUGGGAGAGUCAUACCCACUUGAAUAAACCUCAAAGCAACUGUGCUGUGAAGCACUGACUAGAUUUCUGGUGUGAAGUAGGGGUACAGGUUUAAACACUUCGUCCUACUCAUUCUACCAUUUGCUAUUGAUGUGGCCUACAGACCCUCCCAACUUUCCUGCUGUCAUUACUUCCCUGCUCCAAACACAAGUACCAGAUCAACACACUCUUCUGUCUCCAACAGAUUUUCAUGUUCUAAUUUUUAGAUUUUGUUAUUCAUAUUCUUUGUUUUAUUAAAUUUAAUUCUUCCUUCUACAGUUUUCCAGGAUUGAUUUUGAAAAUAGAAGAUAGCAGCCUGUACUUCAUUAUCAUCUUGGCAGUUAUAGGUAAGGCAAUAAAUCUGUAAAUAAUUUAAGCAGAAUUAGCAUCUUUACAUAAUUUUUCUCCCCUUCAUUGAAUAGGAUAUGCUAUUUCAUUUGUUGAUGAAUUCUUUUACCUGAAUUUAUCAGUGGAUUUGAUUAAUUGCCUCCAUAAAUAUCAUAUAUUUCUUAGGUAUUAUUUUUGUUUUGUUGCUCUUGUGAUUGGGUUAUUUUCUAUUACUUGUUCUAAUUAGUUACUUUUCUUUGGAAGGUUCUUGAUUUUUCAGUAGUGAUCUCCCAUGUACAAUUUUUUCACGUCUCUUAUUAAUUCUAAUUUGUAUGUAUAUUACUUUGAAUUCCCUAAAUAGAUGAUCACAUUGUCACCAAAUAUUAUCUUUCUUUUCAGUAUAUCCCUUAAUUAUUUCACUAUGCAUAGUUUUGGCUUUGUGUUCUAGUAUACUACUCAAAGGUAAAGGUGUAAAAAUGCAGCUGUGUAUUUUCCAUAUAUAUAUAAUGGGAACACAGCUAAUGUUUUUAAAAUUAAAAAUAACAGCUAACAUUUUAUCUGUAUGUUUUAUUAAAGACAUGAAGAAAUGGAUAUUCCCUUAUAAUUUCACUAUACUGAAAGGUUUUACUGUGAGCCCAAGCUGAAUUUCUUUUCUUUUUCCUUUUAUUUUUUUUUUUGGGGGGGGGGCUACCAGGGAUUGAUCCUAGGGAUGCUUAACCACUGAGCAACAUCCCCAGCCCUUUUUAUUUUUUACUUUGAGACAGGGUCUUGCUAAAUUGCUGAGGCUGGCUUUGAUCUUGUGAUCCCCCUGCCUCAGCCUCCCCAGCUGCUGGGUUUUCAGGUGUGUGCCACUGCACAUGGCUUGUUUAAUUUCUUUCUUAGUCUUUUUCCAUACCCAUUGACAUUAACAAAUGUUUUCCCUUAAUUGCUAUUGUGUACAGUUACAAUUGAAAAUAUUUUACAAUUUAAAUAAUAUCUCCAUUCCUUGAAUGGAGCUCUUUAUCACUUAAUUCACUCCUGUAUUGAAUAUGUUAUAAAUUUGUUUAGUAUAUUUAUCACUAUGUGACCUUGACCCAAGUGUUCUUUCCAUGGUAGGGAAAAUCGUGUUCCCAUCUUGUUUUUUAAGUCAAGGAGAACUAGUCUGAGAGAAUGAGUUAAAUCAUUCCUCAUCUUUUUGUAUGCUUUGAGAGAGUUUACAUAAGACAGUGAUCAGUUUUCUUUUAUGGCCACCAGUAGAGCUGAACUCCAAAACUGCUUUGCACUAGAAUUUUGGGGAUAUUUUGAGUAUUAAAUACAGUUUAAAUUUAAGUUGGCUUUUGACUUUUGGGUACUGGCUUAUUUCAUUUAGCAAGAUAGUUUCCAGUUCCAUCUAUUUAUCAGCAAAUGCCAUAAUUUCAUGCUUUUUUUAAGACUCAGUAAUACUCCAUUGUGUAUAUAUACCACAUAUUCUUUAUCCAUCAUCUGUUGAAGGGCACCUAGGUAGGUUCCAUAGCUUGGCUACUGUAAAUUGUACUACUAUAAAGAUUGAUGUGGCUGUUUCACUUUAGUAUGAUGAAUUCAGUUUCUGUGUCUUCUAAGGAAUUGGCAUUUGUUAGUUGUCAUUAUGGCUUUAUAAUCCACUAGUUCUGCAUUUAGCUUCAUUAUUUCAUACAUGUUAUGGUUUAGAUAUGGUGUCCUCCAAAAUCUCACGUGUGAAACAAUGUAAGAAGGUUUGGAGGAAAAAUGAUUGGAUUAUAGCUUCGGCCUAAUCAGUGAAUUGAUCCGUGGUGGGAUUAACAGAGUGGUGACUAGAGGCAGAUGGGGUGUGGCUGGAGGAAGUGGCUCAUUGGGGUAUGGCGAUGGGAUGUAUAUUUUGUAUCUGGUGAAUGGAGUCUCUCUCUGCUUUCUGAUCAUCAUGUGAGUUGUUUCCCUCUGCCACAUUCUUUCCCCAUGAUAUUCAGCCUCACCUUAAGCCCAAGGAAUGGAGACAGCCUUCUAUGGACUAAGACCUCUGAAACUGUGAGCCCUCAAAUAAACUUUUCCUCCUCUACAGUUAUUCUGUUUGGGUCUUUUAGCCACAGCAGCAAAAAAGCUGACUAAAACAAUACCUUCUACUGCUUUAGGUUUAAUAUGACAUCCAGGCCCUAGUUUAUUGAAUUGCUUGGGUGAUUUAAAUAUUUCCUGUUUUCUAGUAUUUCUGUUUAAGGAUGUAUAUUUCCUUUUGAGUAUCACUUGGGUGAUAUUGCACAGAUCAUGCUAUAUAGCUUCAUGUGUAUACAUAUAUUUCUGAUACAUAAAUAUAUACAAAUUAUAGAUAUUUAUGGGGUACCAGGUGAUGUUCAAAUAUAUGUAUACUUUCUGUAAUGUUUAAAUGAGAUUAAAUGUAUCUAUCUUUUCAAACAUUAAUUAUUUACUUGUGAAAACAUUCAAAAUAUUUUCUUCUAGCUUUUUGAAAUAUAUAGCACAUUAUCAUUAUGUAUAGUCAUGCUACUGAGUAUUCAACCAUAAGAAUUUCUCCUGUCUAAUUAUAACUUUGACCACAUUUAUCAACCUUUCCCCAUAACUCCCCAGAUUCUUGUCACCACCAUUCUACUCUCAACUUCUAUGAGAUCAACUUUUUUUUAACACUCCAAAUAUGUUGAUGUCAUACAGUACUCAUCUUUCUUUUCUGGCCUAUUUCACCACAUAAUGAUCUCCUGUUCCUAACCUGUCAUCAUAAAUGGUAGGAUUUCAUUCUAUUUUAUGGCUGAAUAGUAUUCCAAGGUAUGUAUGUAUCAUAUUUUGUUUAUCCAUUCAUUCAUUGAUAGGCAUAGAGGUUAUUUCCAUUUCUUAGCUAUUAUAAAUAGUGCUUCAAUGAACAUGCAGGUGCAGAUGUCUCUUCAACAUACUAAUAUUUUCUCCUUUCAAUAAGUACCCAGUAGUGGGACCGAUGGGUCAUAUGGUAGUUCUGCCAAUUUUGUUUUAUUUUUGUUUUGUGGUGCUGGGGAUGGAAUCCAGGACCUCUCACAUGCUAGGGAUAUGCUCUACCACUGAGAUACACUCCCAGCCCUAACCCUAGAAGCUCUAUUUUUAGUUUUGUGAGGGAUAACAUACGGAUUUCCAUAAUGACAGAACUAAUCUACAUUCCCACCAAUAGUGUGCAAGAGUUCCUUUUACUCCAUCCUCACUAGCACUUGUUAUCUUUUGUCUCCUUUAAAAAAAAAUAUUUUCAGUUGUUGAUAGACAUACAUUUAUUUAUUUAUUUAUUCAUUUAUAUGUGGUACUGAGAAUUGAACCCAGUGUCUCACACAUGCUGGGCAAGUGCUCUGCCUCUGAGCUACAACCCCAGCCCCUUUUGUCUUCUUGAUAAGAGCCAUUCUUCCUGGAGUGAGAUGAUAUCUCAUUGUGGUUUAAAUGUGCAUUUCCCUGAUAAUUGUUGAUGUUGAACAUUUUCCAUAUUUGUUUGCCAUUUGUACAUCUUCUGUUGAAAAAAAUGUUUAUCAAAAGCUAUUGUCCAUUUUAAUUGAGUUAUUUUUUGGGGUUUUUCAAAAUUGAGAUUUGAAGUUCCUUAUAUGUUCUAAAUAUAAACUCCUUGUCAUAUGUAGAGUUUACAAAUAUUUUCUCCCCUUCUGUAGGUUAUCUCUUCAUUUCAUUUUGUUGAUUGUUUCUUUUGCUGUGCAAAAGUUUUUAGUUAGAUGAAAUCCAAUUUGUCUAAUUUUUCUUUUGUUUCCUGUGCUUUUGGGUUCUCAUAAAAAAAAAAUCUUUGCCAAUUCCAAUGUCUAAAGAUUCCCACUAUGUUUUCUUCUAGUAGCUUCAUAGCUUCAGUUAUCACAUUUCACUCUAUAAUCUAUUCCAAGUUGAUUUUUGUGACUGGUGAGGGACAAGAGUCUUCCUUUAUUCUUAUGAAUAUGCAUAUCCAAUUUUAUCAACACCAUUUGUUUCAAAAAAACUGCCUUUUCUCCCCUAUCACUUUUGUCAGAAAUAAGUUUGUUAUAGAUGCAAUGUUACCUCUAAGUUCUCUGAAAUGCAGUGAUAUGUUGUUUAUUUGAGAUCUUUCUGCUUUCUAGAUGUAGACAUCGAUUGCUAUACAUUGCCCUCUUAGUACUACUUUGAUGUAUCCCAUAUGGUUCUAUAUUUAUUAUUUGUUGCAAAAAACAUUUUAAAUCCAUUUUGAAAUAAUUCCUUGAUUUGUUGGCUGUUCAGGAGUUAUUUAAUUAACAUGUGUUUGUGUGGUUUCCAAAGUUUUUCUUAUUAUUGAUAUCUAUUUUUAUUGCAUUAUGCUUAGAAGAGAUGCUUAAAAUGAUUUAAAUUUUUCAAAAUUUGUUAAGGCUUGUAUUUUUGGCCUACCAUAUGAUCUGUGUGAGAAUGUUCCAUGUACCUUGAGAAAGAUGUGUAUUUUGCAGUUGUUGGGUGGAAUGUUCUGUAGAUGUCUGUUAGGUCCAUUUGGUCUAGGCUAUACUUUACUAUUUUUGUUGUUGAAUCUGUCUGGAUGAGCUGUUCAUUGCUAAAAGUGGGGUGCUAAAUUCCUCUCUAGUAUAUUUUGUAUACUGGAUUUAUUUAGUAUAUUGGAUUCUAUCUCAAGUCUAAUAAUAUUUACUUUAUUUAUUUAGGGGUUAUGAUAAUGGGUUCACAUGUAUUUGUGAUUGUUAUUUCCUCUUGCUGAAUUGACAUCUUUAUUGUUAGGUAAUGAUCAUCUUUAUCUCCUGUCAUCUGAUUUUGGUGUAAAGUCUAUUUCAUCAGAGAUACCCUGUUUCCUUUUGGAUUCCAUUUGAAUGGAUUAUAUUAUUCCAGCCCUUCACUUUCAGUCUAUGAAUGCAGAUGUCUCUUCAACACCUUUAUGGUGUGGAAAAUCUGGGAAUAUUGUUUUCUCUCCUCCAUUUCUAAAUGAUAGCUUUUCUCAGUACAAUAUUCGUGGUUAGCAUGUUUUUUCCUUAAAUGUGAAAGGUGAAAUGAAUUUUUUGUAAACAACCUAUGUGUAUGUGUGUAAACAUAUAUGCAUAUAUAUACACACACACAACAUGUAUGUACACACAGAUAUGCACAAACAUUCAGUCACUUGCAUAUUUUAAUCUAUUUAUAUUUAAAGUAAUUGUCAAUAGCUAAGAUCUUACUACUGUCACUUUGUUAUUUGUUUUCUAGUUUUAUUAUCAUUCCUUUAUUUCUCCCUCUUACUGUGUUUCUUUGUGGCUAAUUGAUUUUAUUUUGUAGUGUACUUUGAUUCCUGUCUUAUUAUUUUAAUCUAUCUAGUAUAGAUUUAUAGUUGCCAUAAUUUUCAAAAAAAAUCUCUUGAUUAUAACAGGUUAUUUUGAAAUGAUAGCAAGUUAACUUUAUUUGCCAAGAUUAUAAAGACAAUGAGAAAAUAAAUACUAAUAAAAUAUGUACAUUUGUACUCCAUUCCUCCCCAUAUUUUGAAUUUUUGGUGACCAAUUUAUCUAUAUUGUUUAUUUCCUAAUAUAUAAAUGUACUUAUUUUUAAAAUUUUUUAAAAUUCUUCAUACUAAAGGUAUGAAUGUUUUACACAACAUGUUUCCAAUAUUGUAACAUUCUGAAUUUGUCUAUAUAGUUACUUUUAUCAGUGAGUUUUAUACCUUCGUAUGUUUAACCCUUACAUGUUAGCAUCUCUUUCUUAUAGUUUGAACUCCCUGUACAGUUUUUUAGAGGACAGGUCUGGUGGGGAUAAUAUAUCUCACCUUUAUGGUGAGGAAAAUCUGGGAAUAUUGUUUUCUCUCCUUCAUGUCUAAAUGAUAGCUUUUCUCAGUACAAUAUUCGUAGUUAGCUUGUUUUUUCCUUCAAUACUGUGAAAGUCUCUUGCCAGUCUCACCUGGUCUGUAAGAUUCCUGUUGAGAGAAGGUUGCUCUCAGGUGAAUUGGAUCAUCCUUAUGCAUUAUUAUUUGUUCCUUUCUCUUGCUGCUCUGAUAAUCACAUUUGUGUUUAUCUUUGAGCACUUAAUGAUAUAUUUAUAGCAGACUUGGUCGAAUUAAAUCUGACUGGUGGCUUUUGAACUUCCUAUACCUGGAAUUGUAUCCAUUUCUAGGUUUGGGAAAUUUUCUACAAUUAUUUAUUUGAAUAGCUUUCUACCUUUCUGGCAUUCUUAAGUCUCUUUUGAAAUUCAGUAACAAAAAUUUUUGCUCUUUUAAUCCUUCCCAAAGCUCUUGUAAUUGUUCUUUGUUGCUCCUCAUUUUUUACUUUUUUUCUUUUCUGACUUUAUAUUUUAUUUUUCACUAGGCUGUCUUAAAGCUCGCUAAUCAUUUUUUUCUUUGUGACCUAUUCUAUUGUUGUUGAUGCCCUAUUUGGUGUUCCGGAGAUGAAACUCAGGGCCUCAUUCAUGGUAGGUUUAUCUCUGAGAUAAACCACUAGCCGUUAUCAUGUUUUAAAUUUUGGCCUUUAUACUUUUCAAUUCAAGAAUUUGUGUUUUGAUUUUUAUAAUUACUUUAAUAUGUUCCAUUUUUCUUUUAAAAAUAUUUUUUAUUUGUUGAUGGACCUUUAUUUACUUUUUAUUUAUUCAUAUGUGGUACUAAGAAUUCAACCCAGUGCCUCACACAUGCUAGGCAAGUGCACUUCCACUGAGCUACAGCCCCAGACCCUGUUCCAUUCUUUCUGACAAAGUAAUUAAUCAUUUUUGUUUUAUUGAAGUGCAUUGAAUUUCCCUAAAACAUCUAAUAUGGAUUUUUCUGUGAGUUCACAUAUAUCAGUUUCUGCCACUUUUUUCUGUCUGUUAGACAAGGUAUUAGUUCCCUAAAAGUUCUUAAUGCUUGUCGGUGUGUGACAUUGUUUGCACAUUAAAGGAUUAGAUAUUUAUUACAGUCUUUAUAGACUGGCUUUUUUGGGGUCUGCCCUUCCACAAAUUCUAAGCAGGCUACCUAGUUUCUCUGAAACUGUAGUCACUUGCAAUUUCAGUACUACCCAAUGGCCUAAAUCAAGGUUUGCUGUGAAUCUGCAGUUUGUGUGAUAUCACUGUUGCAGCACUAGAGGGCACUCCAAACCCAAAUCUGCUGUUAGUAUGUUGUUCUGAAUGAACUAGGGGGGGUGGCUAGAAAGUCCAUCCCUGAAAGCUCCCAGUUGUGCCCAGAUUGGGCCCAGAUUCUGCGUUCAUAGUAUCAGGAAUUUGGGAAUGCAAAGGGAUUCUUGGAUAAUAACAUGUAUGAAAGGUAAAGAGUGGGGAAAGAUUAUUGAAAGGGGGAACCAGAAGACCAUGAUGCCAGCCUGACAAAGUCUCCAUAAGCCCAUGGAGAGAGAUUUUGAGCAAAGAUGGACUGUUAUACGAGGUUAAUGUUAGGUGAAAAUGAUCAGCCACCUGUCAUUCUCAUGUGAGCCCACAUCAUCAGUCUUGGACUUAACCUCAUUGACCUUAUCUUCCUUUCCAUGGGUAUUACUUCCCAAUAAGCCAUUAGGUGAGAAUCACUUGGAAGAGCUCAAAAAAGCAACCACAUACCACCUAGUGAGUCCUUUACAAAAAGGGAAUCUGCCUGCCACAUCUAUGCUUCCCACAUGCACAUUUUUCUUUUCUUUCAGUUGGGUUGAGUCCUGACUCCCAGGCUCUCCACAAUUUUGGACUAUGAUUGUUAACAUGUUACAGUUUUUUGUUUUGUUUUGUUUUGUUUUUCCCCCUGAAUUCUUGGACUGUUUCUUUUGGAAUUGUGUCUUGCCAUCUCUUUCAGUAAGAUGAAGGAAUUUUCAAGUCAUCAUUUUUAAAAUUGCAUCUUCACUUUUUGCUGAAAUUAUAACAAUUCAAAACUUGUUUUUACUGCCUUGGUACAUUCAUGAACCAUCACCUACAAGCUCACAAACAACCAGAGGUCUAGAAUUUAUGUCUUCUACCCCUGGCCCCACCCCCUGCUGGUUCUUGAUUUGUGGAUGCACCUACAUGUCUCUCCCCCGUUUCUGAACUCUCAGUUAUAAGAUUACAAUCAGCAUCCUUAACUCUAAUCUCUUAGGACUUGCAGCUGUAACUGUUCUCUAUAACAUUUGGGACUGGGAUGACUCUGCAGAUCCUAUCAUUGUCAUUUACUGAAGUAGAUGCCCCAAACAGGGCAUUCUUGCUAUCAGCUCUCCUUGAGGGGCUGCCUGUUUCUCUGCUAUCUUGCUCUGCAGCAGCCCACCAAGACCAGCCCUGACUCUGAUUCCAUGGCUGAGGAAGACAUCCAAUUAUUACUUUCUCCCUUUCUUGAGGUCAGGUGAAGAAAUAAAGAAGAUAUCCCAGCAUUUGGAUCAUUUCCUAAAUAACCAGUCCAGGAAUGCAUGCUGACUAUAGCGCACUCAUCACACAAAUCAAAACUCAAUGAAACAUUUCAGCCCCUACAUCCUGUGUGUAAUAGAAGCCUUACAAAAGCCUUAAAACAUGGAAGACAAUGCACAGGAUCAUGGUGUGUACAGAAAUGAUAUGGAAUGAACAGUGGGUCCAGUUUAGAGGGACCCUGAAUACAGAGUAAGGAAUAUGAACAUUAUUCUGUGUAAUUAAAUCACAGAUUUACAUCACAUCUGGGCUCCUGUCAUCCUUUUUAUUUCCUUCUCGGGGCAGGGUUGGACAUACUUAUGCAUGUAUAGACUGUCAUGUAUCUUCCUCACUGGGUUUUAGGAAGGGUUAAACAUUUUCUGUUUAAAAUGUAUAUAUGAAUACCUCAGAAGAAAGGUACCAUUUAAAAUUCCCAUAGGAACCAAUUCUUCACUCUUCUUGAGACCAAUUUGCUUCAGUAAGAAACAUGUUCACUUCACGCAUCCUUUUUUUUUUUUUUUAAUUUCAGGUGAGACUCCACACCUUGGCUACCAGAUAUCAUGGCCCCUAACCCAGGAAAGCCUGAAUUUUGAUGAGAAACUAAGAACACCAGCAGAGCUUUCUGAUUUUGUACUGUGAUUCCUCUAAUGUAUCAUCAUGGACACAAUUGCAUUUCAGUCAUUGGCUUGUUUCUUUGCUUAGGUAUUACCACACGGGCUUGACCUCUCUGUCGCUAGAAUGAUGACAUUGCUAUCCAAACAUAAGUCUUGGGUCCUUUUGCCCUUAAGCAAAAGUGAAGCAAAAUUAUUAAGUAUAUUUCUCACACACCCAUUUCCUUGUAAUAGCUACAGGAAUGUGAGGCCCAGAAUUUGGGCUUUGAAGUCACUUGUUUCUUGUGUAAUGGCAUUUACAUGGACAUGCUAGCUGAGGAUGGGCCAGAUGUUUAUUUUAUUAGGAAGAGAAUUAAAAUUAUCUGUCUCUUAAAUAUGCCAGGGGGUAUUUUAAGGAAAUAAUUUUAAGCUUCUGGAACCUAUGAGAAUAUUGUAGCUUUGUUUUAGUUUGUUUUCUGUUGCUAUAACAAAAUAUCCAAGAGCAGAUAAUUUAUAAAGGUUAAAAUGUAUUUUCCACAGUUAUGGAAGCUAGAAUGUCCAACAGUAUGGUGCUGGCAACUAGUUGGCAUCUGGUGAGAGCUUCCUUGCUGCAUCAUAACAUGGAGAAGACCACCUCAUAGAAAGACAGAGCAAGCAAUCUAGCUCAGGUCUCUCUUCUUCUUAAAAAGCCACUAAGGCCAUCAUGGAAAUCUUCAUGACCUAUAUAAUACUAAUUAUACCUCAAAGGCUCCACUUCUGAAUACCAUUAACAUGAACUUUUGUGGGAUACACUCAAACCAUAACAAGUGCCCUCACGCCCAGCUUAACUUUCCUUCAUAUUAUGGUAUGCUACUAGUAAUUUCUUCUUGAAUGCUACUGUUAUCCUUCCAAUGUUUGAAGGAUAUUGGCAUAGCUGGUUCACUCUAUAAAGACAUUUCUCUUGUAAUCAUUUUGUUCUCUCAUAUUCAUAUGCUAAUUUUCAUGAAAAAUGUGACUUAAACGUUCCACAUAGACAAGACUCUCUCCCUCUAUUGUUGGCUGUGUAUGUAGGCACUUCUCCAUUCAUUUGGAGAAGUGUCAUUUGCACCACUGAUUCUGUUUGUGUCAACAUGUUACAUGUAUUGUAGGCUAAAUAAAGUCGAUCUGACAAGGUUGUGUGUUUUUCAUUUUGUUUU